rnacentral:rRNA from 1 species
CAGUAGCCACGGGAAUACGAAGGGGGCUGGCGUUGCUCGGAAUGACUGGGCGUAAAGGGCGCGUAGGCGGUUUUGACAGUCAGAUGUGAAAUUCCUGGGCUUAACCUGGGGGCUGCAUUUGAGACGUCAAGACUAGAGUGUGAGAGAGGGUUGUGGAAUUCCCAGUGUAGAGGUGAAAUUCGUAGAUAUUGGGAAGAACACCGGUGGCGAAGGCGGCAACCUGGCUCAUUACUGACGCUGAGGCGCGAAAGCGUGGGGAGCAAACAGGAUUAGAUACCCCCGUAGUCCCUGUCUCUUAUAC